UACGAAGGGGGCUAGCGUUGCUCGGAAUCACUGGGCGUAAAGGGUGCGUAGGCGGGUUUUUAAGUCAGAGGUGAAAUCCUGGAGCUCAACUCCAGAACUGCCUUUGAUACUGAAAGUCUUGAGUAUGGGAGAGGUGAGUGGAACUGCGAGUGUAGAGGUGAAAUUCGUAGAUAUUCGGAAGAACACCAGUGGCGAAGGCGACACACUGGCCCGUUACUGACGCUGAGGCAUGAAAGCGUGGGGAGCAAACAGG
rnacentral:rRNA from 1 species